UACAGAGGUCUCAAGCGUUGUUCGGAUUCAUUGGGCGUAAAGGGUGCGUAGGUGGCGCCGUAAGUCGGGUGUGAAAUUUCGGAGCUUAACUCCGAAAACUGCAUUCGAUACUGCGGUGCUUGAGGACUGGAGAGGAGACUGGAAUUCCUGGUGUAGCGGUGAAAUGCGCAGAUAUCAGGAGGAACACCGGUGGCGAAGGCGGGUCUCUGGGCCGUAACUGACGCUGAGGAGCGAAAGCGUGGGGAGCGAACAGG
rnacentral:rRNA from 1 species